CGGGUUCCUUUUGACAUCCUCGCGAACUUGCUAGAGAUAGCUUGGUGCCUUCGGGAGCGCAGUGACAGGUGCUGCAUGGCCGUCGUCAGCUCGUGUCGUGAGAUGUUGGGUUAAGUCCCGUAACGAGCGCAACCCUUGUCCUCAGUUACCAGCACUUCGGGUGGGCACUCUGGGGAGACUGCCGGUGACAAACCGGAGGAAGGUGGGGAUGACGUCAGGUCAUCAUGGCCCUUACGGCCAGGGCUACACACGUGCUACAAUGGGGCGUACAGAGGGCAGCAAGUGCGCGAGCGCAAGCGAAUCCCUUAAAGCGUCUCUCAGUCCGGAUCGGAGUCUGCAACUCGACUCCGUGAAGUCGGAAUCGCUAGUAAUCGCAAAUCAAAAUGCUGCGGUGAAUACGUUCCCGGGUCUUGUACACACCGAA
rnacentral:rRNA from 1 species